AAUAGAAUGGUACAAUAAUAAAGUGAAUUUUUAGAAUAAUAAAAUAGAGUAACAUUAACAUUUUUCAAUGCUACUGCAGAACAGCGUGUGUACCAAAAUCAUGUAGGAGAGCAGGUACGCUUAGCCAGUUUAGCCCGCCUCUCUCACCAAUAAUUCUCUCUCAGACAAAAAAAUAAAAAUAGAAAUCAAAACAAAUUCACUACUUUUAUUAAACGCAAAGUCCAUUCCCAAAUUUCAGAGUCACCCUUCAACUUCAACCCAUUUCUCUCUCUCUCUCUCUAAAUCGAAGCUUCGAGAAACAUAUGGAGCCACACAAAUCGAUCAAACCCUAGAUUUUCUCACCAACCAAACACCCUACUGUCCCGAGGAAAAAAAAUCAUAACACCUCUAAUUCCUUUAUUUCCCCUCAAAUUGACCUCCGAGAUCGCGUUCCUCGCGCCGCGGCGAAAAAAAAAGGGUCGGGUUUUCAGGGAAAAUCCUAAUUCGAGGCCGAUAUUUCCGUGUUGCGAGUCCACGUUGGCGAAUUCGUCUUCGUCUUCUUCGUCUUGCUCGACUCCGACCACGACGACGUCGACCUCGAUGACCGAGACGGUGAAUGGGUCCCACCAGUUUUCAAGAUCUCGGGGUACUCGCUCUCGAAAGGCAUGGGGAUCGGAAAGUACGUGGCGUCCGAUACUUUCGUCAGAAAAAUUCUUCCUUUCAUUCCCAAAGCCUCACAAAAGUACACAAAAAGCUCCCAGCAACCACUACAACAACAACAACCACUUCAACAAACAACUGCAGCAGAUCAAGCAAGAAAAGCAGAGAAAAAAAGGAGGAAAACUGAGUAUCCAGAAGAUGGGUAACAUCACUUCCUAUUUUUGCCUGUGUCUACUUGAAACCAAUUUUUAUGCACAUACUCGUAUUAUUUGAUUCACACAACACAAGCAUGCAUCUUUCAACCUAAAAAGGUCAUCUUUUUUUCUUUUUUCUGUCAGUUCCGUACACAGAACACAAGACACGCACACAAUACACAAUACAGGGCACAAACACACACAACCCAGCUCAUAAAACCCACAAAUACCUAUUUCAAAACAAACCUCAAAAACCCAAAAUAAAAAUCUUUUCUCAAACCCCCUCAAAACCCAGAUCAAAUUUCCAAUCACAGCCAAAACCAAAUCCCAAAUCCUCAAACUCACUAACUCAACCAAACAAUAGAAAGAAAGGCUUAAGGCAUAAUCUGAUUUGGGUUUAAGAUAGAAAUAGAAAGAAAAAGAUUUAAGAGAAGAGAUAAGAUGGUGAGGUGGCGUUCUGUCAUUGGUCUACAGAGAUUUCCUUUAAUAGUUUGGGUUUGGACUGGGUUGGACCCAUUUGGGUCAGCUACAUCUAUAACUAAAAAUCACAUAAGCCCACUCCACUAAAAAUACCAAGCCAAUUCUCUCCUUUAGGCCCAAUCCGAAUGCCUCUAAGCUCCAGCCCACAUUAAAAUUUAGCUUCACCCAGACCCAAUCCAAAAAAUCACACACAUAAGCCCACCAGCCUUUUAAAAUCAAAGUCAAGCCAAGCCCAAAAGUAAAGCUCCAUUUUAAAUCCAUUCCACCACAAGGGCCCAAUCCGGAUCCGUAAGCCAAACAUCUUUCAAAAUUACAAACCACCCCAAAUAUUUUCAAAAUUACCCUUUAACCCAAAAUUUUUCGAAAUUACAAUUUGACCUCAGGAUUUCACAAAUUUGCAAAAUGACACCUAAAACCUCAAAAAUUGCACAAGGGCUCUUGAGGUCACAGAAAUGCCUUUUUCUUGUUUUGCCAAAAUUAAAAAAGAUUUCUUCAAGAUUAAUAAAUUUUCAAAUGACAUCAUUUCCACACUUCACAGGAAUUGAACAUUUGCAUUGUCUUUUUUGCAUGAGAUCAAAUGCUUUGGGAGAAUUAAUUGCAAAACUGCAUUUAGUAUGCUAUGCUUUGGAGUGAGGAAGAAUAUGCAAGAAGGAUUUGAUAGUUGUACUAUGAUUGACGCUAGGAAUGAUUGUGUAAGUGUUAUGAAUUAUGACAGAAGGUAUUAUAAUUAUUAUAGUUUAAAAUUACGAUAUCAUUGUUAUUUUUUUCUUACGGUAGGGAUAUGUUCGCACAUUGGGAAAGUACAACCCUAAGUAUCACUCUAAGGUGGCUCUUAAGCAUUACCACUUGGAAGACCUCCUCACAGCAGAGAAGUUCUAAGUAAUGGGACCGACCAAUGUCUUAAAAACAGAUUCAUUCAAGUUUGAUCAAACCAAUUUACGCUUCUUGACAAAUGUUAUGGAAACGGGUUGUUUGAGAAUGAUGAUACUUCUAAUGAAGUCAUCAAGAUGAGGGGUGAAUGGGAGCCAUUCAAACUUGGUCUUGCAAAAAAAAAAAGAUAGGAUAAAAUAGGAGCACUCUUUGGAGGUGCUGUGAGGGAAAGCUAAGAUUCAUGCCAUAUUUGUACCAAAUCUGCCUACGAAUGCAACUGUUGAACAACUUGAAGCGGUUUUCAACAAUUUUGGGCAUAUUAAGCAUAAUGGUAUUCAAGUUAGAAGUAGCAAGCAACAGGGGACAUGUUUUGGUUUCGUGGAAUUUGAAUCUGCCAGUUCGAUGCAAAGUGCUAUUAAGCUAACAAUGACAGAGGGAGGUUUCCUGGAUGGGCUGGUUAUCGAAAUGAUAACUUUAGGGGCCGUGGAAACUUCAAUGGUGGGAAUUUUAGUGGAGGCUGUGGCUAUGGGGAGAAAUGAAUUUGAGAGGCGAGGUGAUUUCUCAAAAGAAGUUUACAAGAUGAUUUACAAGCUUCAGCUAAAGCUCAAAGAAGUGGUACUAUAAAUAGAUUAACCUUUUUAAUCAUUGGUGAUGUCUCAGUAUAAUUUAUCAUAGUAUCCCUUAAACAUUCAUGAUCAAUGUAUAUUCAUUAUUUUGAACUUGUAUAAGUAGAUUAAACCUUUUUAGCCAUUCAUCUGUCUCUAUGUAACUUUUGGAAGUUAAUAAAAAAAAAUGUUUUAAAUUUUUA